GAUGAACGCUGGCGGCGUGCCUAACACAUGCAAGUCGAGCGAUUUACUUCGGUAAAGAGCGGCGGACGGGUGAGUAACGCGUGGGUAACCUGCCUCACACACAUGGAUAACAUACCGAAAGGUAUGCUAAUACAAGAUGAUAUAAGAGAUUCGCAUGGAUUUCUUAUCAAAGCUCCGGCGGUAUGAGAUAGACCCGCGUCUGAUUAGCUAGUUGGUAAGGUAACGGCUUACCAAGGCGACGAUCAGUAGCCGACCUGAGAGGGUGAUCGGCCACAUUGGAACUGAGACACGGUCCAAACUCCUACGGGAGGCAGCAGUGGGGAAUAUUGCACAAUGGGCGAAAGCUUGAUGCAGCAACGCCGCGUGAGCGAUGAAGGCCUUCGGGUCGUAAAGCUCUGUCCUCAAGGGAGAUAAUGACGGUACUUGAGGAGGAAGCCCCGGCUAACUACGUGCCAGCAGCCGCCGUAACAC
rnacentral:rRNA from 1 species